AUACGUAGGUGGCGAGCGUUGUCCGGAAUUACUGGGCGUAAAGGGCGCGCAGGCGGAUUUUUAAGUCAGAUGUGUAAUCUACAGGCUUAACCUGUAGUUUGCAUCUGAUACUGGGAAUCUUGAGGGCAGGAGAGGACAGUGGAAUUCCUAGUGUAGCGGUGAAAUGCGUAGAUAUUAGGAGGAACACCAGUGGCGAAGGCGGCUGUCUGGCCUGCAACUGACGCUGAGGCGCGAAAGCGUGGGUAGCGAACAGGAUUAGAUACCCUGGUAGUCCACGCCGUAAACGAUGGGUACUAGGUGUAGGAGGUAUCGACCCCUUCUGUGCCGGAGUUAACACAAUAAGUACCCCGCCUGGGGACUACGGCCGCAAGGCUAAA
rnacentral:rRNA from 1 species